GACGAACGCUGGCGGCGUGCUUAACACAUGCAAGUCGAACGGUAAGGCCCUUCGGGUACGACGAGUGGCGAACGGGUGGAGUAACACGUGGGUGGAUCUGCCCUGCACUUCGGGAUAAGCCUGGGAAACUGGGUCUAAUACCGGAUAGGACUCCUGGCUUCAUGGUUGGGGGUGUAAAGCUUUUGCGGUGUGGGAUGGGCCCGCGGCCUAUCAGCUUGUUGGUGGGGUAAUGGCCUACCAAGGCGACGACGGGUAGCCGGCCUGAGAGGGUGACCGGCCACACUGGGACUGAGAUACGGCCCAGACUCCUACGGGAGGCAGCAGUGGGGAAUAUUGCACAAUGGGCGCAAGCCUGAUGCAGCGACGCCGCGUGAGGGAUGACGGCC
rnacentral:rRNA from 1 species